CCUACGGGCGGCAGCAGUGAGGAAUAUUGGUCAAUGGACGCAAGUCUGAACCAGCCAUGCCGCGUGCAGGAAGACGGCUCUAUGAGUUGUAAACUGCUUUUGUACGAGGGUAAACGCAGAUACGCGUAUCUGUCUGAAAGUAUCGUACGAAUAAGGAUCGGCUAACUCCGUGCCAGCCGCCGCGGUAUUACGGAGGAUUCAAGCGUUAUCCGGAUUUAUUGGGUUUAAAGGGUGCGUAGGCGGUCGGAUAAGUUAGAGGUGAAAUCCCGAGGCUCAACUUCGGAAUUGCCUCUGAUACUGUUCGGCUAGAGAGUAGUUGCGGUAGGCGGAAUGUAUGGUGUAGCGGUGAAAUGCUGAGAGAGCAUACAGAACACCGAUUGCGAAGGCAGCUUACCAAGCUACUUCUGACGUUGAGGCACGAAAGCGUGGGGAGCAAACAGGAUUAGAUACCCGUGUAGUC
rnacentral:rRNA from 1 species